rnacentral:rRNA from 1 species
AGUGAACGCUGGCGGCAGGCCUAAUACAUGCAAGUCGAACGGCAGCACAGCAGAGCUUGCUCUGUGGGUGGCGAGUGGCGGGACGGGUGAGGAAUACGUGGGAAUCUGCCCAGUCGUGGGGGAUAACGUAGGGAAACUUACGCUAAUACCGCAUGCGCCCUUCGGGGAAAGCCGGGGACCUUCGGGCCUGGCGCGAUUGGAUGAGCCCACGUCGGAUUAGCUAGUUGGCGGGGUAAAGGCCCACCAAGGCGACGAUCCGUAGCUGGUCUGAGAGGAUGAUCAGCCACACUGGAACUGAGACACGGUCCAGACUCCUACGGGAGGCAGCAGUAGGGAAUAUUGGACAAUGGGCGCAAGCCUGAUCCAGCCAUGCCGCGUGAGUGAAGAAGGCCCCUCGGGUUGUAAAAGCUCUUUUGUCCGGAAAGAAAAGCGCCGGGUUAAUACCCUGGUGUCCUGACGGUACCGGAAGAAUAAGCACCGGCUAACUUCGCGCCAGCAGCCGCGGUAAU